rnacentral:lncRNA from 1 species
CAAGGAGGCACUCAGGCCUCGGGAUUUGUUCAGCCACCCCAGUAUCCACUGUUUUCACAGAAUCACGGGUAUUCGAUGGGAGGUACAUCGGAUUACCCCAGCUUUAAUCCUUACCCUUCUCACAUGCCAUACCCACCUUUCUACCCACCAUACUCGCAGUACCCUAUGUACUCACCCCCAUCUUUCUAGCCAGGUACAGCAAACCCUACUCCGG